rnacentral:rRNA from 1 species
GAUUAACGCUGGCGGUACGUCUAAUACAUGCAAGUCGAACGGACACUUCGGUGUCAGUGGCGAACGGGUGAGUAACACGUAGGUAACCUGCCCUUAAGACGGGGAUAACUUUUGGAAACGAAAGCUAAUACCGGAUUGAAAGUAGAAUAGGCAUCUAUUUUAUUUAAAAGGUCCUUUCGGGGACUGCUUAAGGAGGGGCCUGCGGCGCAUUAGUUAGUUGGUGAGGUAAUGGCUCACCAAGACGAUGAUGCGUAGCUGGACUGAGAGGUUGAACAGCCACACUGGGACUGAGAACGGCCCAG